UUAAUAUUUUCGUGUGUAAAGUCUUCCCAGCAGAAAAGGAGCAUGUCCACACCUGAUCUAUGAUUCUGUUAGUACUUUGCAUGUCACAUUGAAGAUUCACACCAGAAAAGGACUGUGAUGCAUAUUCCUGAGGUCUACAGAACACCAGUGAGCUCACUGUUCUGCUGUAUGCUGGCUUUCGUCCUGGACUUCACCUGAGAGGAACAGAGCCAAAGGAAGGAGGAGAUGAGAUCAACAGCAAAAGCAGAAACCGUGAUCAACUUUUACGAGAAGGUCAAUACC
ensembl:lncRNA